rnacentral:lncRNA from 1 species
CUUAACCCUCCACCUCUACCCUGAGCUCCCCACCCCUGCAGGAGAAUCAUGGUAACAGCCAACACCUGUGAGUCCAGUCACCCCUGACCUUGGCUGCUGCUGGCUCCUGAAUUGGCUGCUGUGGACCCCAGCCCUUCUCUACACGGUUUCCCAUCCCGACUGCCUCCCCACCUAAAGGCUGCAUCUCACCAGCUGGCUAAGGGUCAAGACAGGGAAGACAGCGUGAAGAAACACCAGGGCUCUGAUCUACGACUUGAUGGUGCAGCCUUCUGGAUGUGAGAUACAGAUGUUUUCCUCUUCUGGAAGAGAAGCAGCCAAAGGCCCUGGAGCAACAGUGGCAGUUGGAAAACUGGGGCCAUGGGGACACUGACAGGUGCGCAGAAACCAGCACGCCUGCUGGGCGCCCCAGCAGGUAAGUUAGAAUAAAAGAGGCACUUGUGGGGACUUGACUCA